rnacentral:lncRNA from 1 species
CGGGUCAAAGGACUAAGAUAUAAAAAAUAUUUCCAAAUGCGUAACUAGUUCUCUUUAUAUGUAGGCAUGUUCUGUGCACUUCCUGGUCUUUCUGAGCCUACUGGGCACUGCCAGGAUGGGUACCAUUGCCCAUCAGGAGCCAUCAGCCCCAAUGCCACAGGGCAUCAGAUGGAAUCAGCUGGUAAUAACAUGUGCCCUCCUGGUCAUUACUGCCCCGUUGGCACUGGCUACCCUCUCCCUUGCCCCCCUGGCACACUGUCCAGCUCCCCAGGGCUGAGUGCGGUGGAGCAGUGCCAGCCCUGCCCGCCGGGGCACUUCUGUGAGCAGCCUGCGAUGUCCAGCCCCUCUGAUGCACUUCUGUGUGAUGCUGGGUACGUGUGCAUUGGAGGCAGUCGCAUUGCUCGCCCAAUAGAUGGACUGGAGGGAUAUCUUUGUCCUAGUGGGCACAGUUGCCCCAUUGGUUCCCCAGUGGAGGUGCCAUGUGAGCCUGGAACCUAUAGCAGCGCUCCUGGAGGCUCCCACUGUCUGUUCUGCCCAGCUGGUACCAUGUGCCCGUCGGCAGCCACUCAGGAGCCGGCACCCUGCCCUAAAGGUUAUUUCUGCCCUGCUGGCACUGCUACAGCUGUGCCAUGCCCUGUGGGCACUCUCGGCCAGGUUAACAGAGCUCAGUCUGAGUCUGCCUGCACUCCCUGCCCCACUGGUCUGUUCUGCAGCCUUCCUGGUGCCUCUCAGCCACAAGGUAUGAUGACAUACAUAUAAUAAACAUAAAUCAUAAACAUAUUUUUUGUCAUAUAGCCAUA